UACGUAGGGGGCAAGCGUUGUCCGGAAUCAUUGGGCGUAAAGCGCACGUAGGCGGAUCGUUAAGUCGGGGGUGAAAUCCUGGAGCUCAACUCCAGAACUGCCUUCGAUACUGGCGAUCUUGAGUCCGGAAGAGGUGAGUGGAACUCCUAGUGUAGAGGUGGAAUUCGUAGAUAUUAGGAAGAACACCAGUGGCGAAGGCGGCUCACUGGUCCGGUACUGACGCUGAGGUGCGAAAGCGUGGGGAGCAAACAGG
rnacentral:rRNA from 1 species